rnacentral:rRNA from 1 species
GGAGUCUGGGCCGUAUCUCAGUCCCAAUGUGGCCGUUCAACCUCUCAGUCCGGAACUACUGAUCGUCGCCUUGGUAGGCCGUUACCCCACCAACUAGCUAAUCGGACGCGAGCCCAUCUAUUAGCGGAUUGCUCCUUUUCUGACUAAAUCAUGCGAUUCUAUCAGCUUAUGCGGUAUUAGCAGUGAUUUCUCACUGUUAUUCCCCUCUAAUAGGCAGGUUGCUCACGCGUUACUCACCAGUCCGCCACUAACCGCUCUCAAAGUAAACUUCGAGUUAAGUCCGUUCGACUUGCAUGUCUUAUGUGCGCCGCCAGCGUUUAUC